rnacentral:rRNA from 1 species
UUGACCUCGGAUCAGGUAGGAAUACCCGCUGAACUUAAGCAUAUCAAUAAGCGGAGGAAAAGAAACCAACAGGGAUUGCCCUAGUAACGGCGAGUGAAGCGGCAACAGCUCAAAUUUGAAAUCUGGCUUCGGCCCGAGUUGUAAUUUGUAGAGGAUGCUUUUGGUGAGGUGCCUUCUGAGUUCCCUGGAACGGGACGCCAGAGAGGGUGAGAGCCCCGUAUAGUCGGCCACCGAUCCUCUGUAAAGCUCCUUCGACGAGUCGAGUAGUUUGGGAAUGCUGCUCAAAAUGGGAGGUAUAUCUCUUCUAAAGCUAAAUAUUGGCCAGAGACCGAUAGCGCACAAGUAGAGUGAUCGAAAGAUGAAAAGCACUUUGAAAAGAGGGUUAAAUAGCACGUGAAAUUGUUGAAAGGGAAGCGCUUGUGACCAGACUUGUGCCGGGCUGAUCAUCCAGUGUUCUCACUGGUGCACUCGACCCGGCUCAGGCCAGCGUCGGUUCUCGUAGGGGGAUAAAAGCUUCGGGAACGUGGCACCUUCGGGUGUGUUAUAGCCCGUUGCUUAAUACCCUU